CCGGGCCUGGCCGCUGUCUGCGUGAGGUGUUGACGAGAGCGGGAGACUGCUCGGCUCCAACAGACUGAACUCUGUCUUUACUGUCUUUCAGAUGGCAGCAGUGACAAUGGGCUUUGGAGAUCCUCUCUCACCUUUGCAAUCGGUCAAUAGAAAUGCUCACUUCUUCCGGGGCUCAUGUCCUUAGUCAGGGCUAGAGGGGGGCAGUGCAGCCCACUGCUGGGGACCUUGCUCCCCUGGCCGGCCCUGCCCGUCAGCUCUGGACGAGCACAGCAGAGCGCCAGGCAUGGCGGGGCCAGUGGUGUGGGCACCCACCCCGGGACCGCCCCUGGGGAGGCCUCCAUCUGCUCUGAGGGCCCGCCUUAAAACUAACCGGCCAGGUAACUGCAGAGGGCAGCCGCGGCAGCCAGCCAGGGAGGGUAGCUGCCGGUGCCAGGCUCGUCUGUGCCCUGCUGCCCCACGCAGGGUGCACCACGGGCCACCAGGUCGCCAGUCUCCAGGCUGCCUAGGCUCUUGGGUUGGGCUGAAGACCCUGAGGAGAGAGGGGUCCUGACUUGUGGCCCCAUCAGACCCUGGAGGGAGGACGGAGGGGAGGUGGGGGGUGGGGGGAUGAGUGAGUGAGAAAGGGAAGGGCGAAGAUUUGGGCCAUGGGCCUGGGCUGUCAGCAAGGUCUAGAGGCCAAGGAGGAGGCAGAGGCCAUAGCUGCGGGGCUGCAGCAAGCAGAGUCUUUUCCUGCCCCACAGGCAGUCUGAGGCGGCCAGACACCAUCCUGGGGAGGAUCCUGAGGGGGAGAUAUGGCCCUUUCUCUGGGGGCCAUUUGGAGGACUUGGGCCAAUCCUGAGCGAGCUUCCCUCAUUGGGGAGACACUGUGUGUCAGAAAGGCAGCUGUCGACCCUCUGAAGACACCUGGGCUAUGGGGGUUGUGGUCAGGGAGAAAGCUGUUUGCCCACCUGUAGAUGGGGAGUCCCACCUUGAAGGGGAGGCAUGGCCCUUUCUUGGGGAACAUAGGCCUGAGGGACAGAUGGGGCUUCAUCUUGAUGUAAGCGGAAGCCUGGGGCCUAUUUGUUAGGGAACCCAGUUUGAGGAGGGAAGAGUCAAGUUUUCAGAGACUUGCUAGUUUGAGGGAAGGUCGUCCCAACCAUGGGGAGUCUGUGUUGGGCAGCUAGACUCUAAGGGAGGGGCCAGGCCUGUGCCAGGCUUUUUGACACAGAUAGGAGUAAACUGGUCUCUGCUGGGAACCUUCACAAGGGCCAGGGGAGCCCUUGUUCGUGUUCAGGCAGGGUCCUGGGGCGUGUCUUCCUGUGGCCCACAGUGCUUGGCUCUGGAACUCCCUGCCUGGCACAGCUGUGAGGUGGCAGGGGAGAGAUCCCCAUUCUUGAGGGUUCAGGGAGGUUCCUCAACGCAGUGGCCCAGCCCACAACCAAGGCUUGCCAGUUUCCCAGCUCCAGGGAGCCCCAAGGUUUCUCAGUUGGGUUCUCCGCUGCCUCAUGACACUUCUGGGGACCAGGCCAGUGGCUCUUGCCUGUGCUCUUGUGGCUCCAGGCGUAGGCUCUAGCAGCUCUUUUUAGAGGGGAGCGGGGCGUUGGGAUGGGAAGAGUAUAGGUCACUGAGCCCCUGCCUGAGUUGGUCCCGCACGAGCGACUAUUCCUCGUUCUCUCCAGGGAGCCCCCGUCUGGGCUCCUGAACUCCCCUGGGGUUUCUUCUGGGCAGUGGCUGCCCCGUCUUCUGUCACCCUCUCUUCUGGCCUCCAUGCCAGCCAGUCCCUCCAGCUUGGAUGACUCCUCCUUCCCUUUUCUGUUGCAGUACUUGGCUGGGAAGGUGGGAGGAUCUCCCAGCCCGGCCCGGGGUACCUGACCCUGGGACUGGAGGGUGAGCGUGGUGGGAGGGCGCAGAGCCCUGCCUCCUGGCCACCAGUCAGUUUUGCAGCUGCAGUCUGCCUGGGACUGGGCGGGCUGGGCUCGUCUGUGUACUGCUGUUGGGCCUGGCCUUCUUCAGGGUGGGGUCCUGCUGACCCCUGUGCCCUGACUUUAGGGGCCAAGCCUGCAUCUUGCUGCUGGGUGGGGAUCACUCCCCACCGCAGAGUUCAUGGGGCAGGUGGGUGGGCCAGGAGGGGAGAGGGCUGCUAAGCCCCUUGCCUGCCUCCCUGACAAGCCAGUGGCGCUCUCUCCUUCUGUUCUGCUAUAGAUGGCAGCUCAGCGGCAGCGGGCACUGGCCAUCAUGUGCCGGGUCUACGUGGGCUCCAUCUACUAUGAGCUAGGGGAGGACACCAUUCGCCAGGCCUUUGCCCCUUUUGGCCCCAUCAAAAGCAUUGACAUGUCCUGGGAUUCUGUCACUAUGAAGCACAAGGUGAGCAGACUAGGUCUACCCCAGUUGCCUUGGCCUACCCUCCUUGGGGUUCUUCCAAGCCUGAUAGGGUUUCCUGUGUCUAGGGCUUUGCCUUUGUGGAAUAUGAAGUCCCAGAAGCUGCACAGCUGGCCUUGGAGCAGAUGAACUCAGUGAUGCUGGGAGGCAGGAACAUCAAGGUGAGGGUGUGGGUGCAGGUGUUGGGCUUUUGGGCCUUGAGAAUGUUCUGUCUAGUCUCCCAGAUGUGUCGAGCAACCUCACAGAAGCCUGCUGUGACUAAGUCUGACAGGUGCUCUCGGUCCCUUCCCCUUCCCCAGGUGGGUAGGCCCAGCAACAUAGGGCAGGCCCAGCCCAUCAUCGACCAGCUGGCUGAGGAGGCACGGGCCUUCAACCGUAUCUACGUGGCCUCCGUGCACCAGGACCUCUCGGAUGAUGACAUCAAGAGUGUGUUUGAGGCCUUUGGCAAGAUCAAGUCUUGCACACUAGCCCGGGACCCCACAACUGGCAAGCACAAGGGCUACGGCUUCAUUGGUGAGCUGGGGGUGCUGAGGAGAGGUGGGGGCCCACCUGGUGCUGGGACUGGCCCUCCUCACUGCUGCUCCUGCCCUGCAGAGUACGAGAAGGCCCAGUCGUCCCAGGAUGCUGUGUCCUCCAUGAACCUCUUUGAUCUGGGUGGCCAGUACUUGCGGGUGGGCAAGGCUGUCACACCCCCCAUGCCCCUGCUAACACCUGCCACCCCAGGAGGCCUUCCGCCUGCUGCCGCUGUGGCCGCAGCUGCAGCCACAGCCAAGAUCACAGCUCAGGUGAGGGGGUGGACAGGUGCUCUAGUCAUUUGGGAGCCAGCUCUUGAUAUGGUCUUGGGUGGAGGUAGCCAGACUGGGGACUGAGUGUGGUUGCCUUCUGGGUUGCAGGAAGCAGUGGCUGGAGCAGCUGUGUUGGGUACCUUGGCAACACCUGGACUGGUGUCCCCAGCACUGACCUUGGCUCAACCCCUAGGGGCUCUGCCCCAGGCUGUCAUGGCUGCCCAAGCUCCUGGAGUCAUCACAGGUGAGUCUGAGUAGGCCAAGGCUCUCCAGGCAUUCCUGCCCCUCAUUUCUAGGCUCUCUGCCUUCACCUGCCCAGGGUGGGCUGGCCAUGGCGACCAGCUCUGCUUCCUGCUAAGGUGGGGGUUGUGGGGAUAGCUGCUGGACCUGGUUGGUUUUGCUGCAGGUGUGACCCCGGCCCGUCCUCCCAUUCCGGUCACCAUCCCCUCUGUGGGGGUGGUGAACCCCAUCCUGGCUAGCCCCCCAACACUGGGUCUCCUGGAGCCCAAGAAGGAGAAGGAAGAGGAGGAGCUGUUUCCUGAGUCUGAACGGCCAGAGAUGCUAAGUGAGCAGGAGCACAUGAGCAUCUCUGGCAGCAGUGCCCGCCACAUGGUCAUGCAGAAGCUGCUGCGCAAGCAGGAGGUGGGUGAACAGACCCUGGGUCGGGAUGUAGGGGUGGGGAACAUCUAGGCAGGCCACAGUGCUCAGCUGUCUCCUCCCCACAGUCCACAGUGAUGGUUCUCCGCAACAUGGUGGAUCCCAAGGACAUCGAUGAUGACCUGGAAGGAGAGGUGACAGAGGAGUGUGGCAAGUUUGGUGCUGUCAACCGUGUCAUCAUCUACCAAGAGAAGCAGGGUGAAGAGGAG
rnacentral:lncRNA from 1 species